AGGACGAACGCUGGCGGCGUGCUUAACACAUGCAAGUCGAGCGAGGCCCCUUCCUUCGGGAGGGGAGCCCUAGCGGCGAACGGGUGAGUAACACGUGGGCAAUCUGCCCCUAGCACUGGGAUAACUCCGGGAAACCGGGCUAAUACCGGAUAUGACCUCCGAGGGCAUCCUCUGGAGGUGGAAAGGAUUCGGGCUAGGGAUGAGCCCGCGGCCUAUCAGCUAGUUGGUGGGGUAAUGGCCCACCAAGGCGACGACGGGUA
rnacentral:rRNA from 1 species